rnacentral:rRNA from 1 species
AAACGCUUGAAGUCAGUCGCGUCCGCCGGGACUCAGCCUUGCUUUUGCUUGGUGCACUUCUCGGUGGAUGGGCCAGCAUCGAUUUCGAUCGCAGGAAAAGGGCGGGAGGAAUGUGGCAGCUUGCUGUGUUAUAGCCUCUCGUCGUACACUGUGAUUGGGAUCGAGGAUUGCAGCACGCCUUUGGUCGGGGUUCGCCCACGCCACGUGCUUAGGAUGCUGGCGUAAUGGCUUUAAACGA